rnacentral:rRNA from 1 species
AGAGUUUGAUCAUGGCUCAGGACGAACGCUGGCGGCGUGCCUAAUACAUGCAAGUUGAACGCUUGAUUUUCACCGAAGCUUGCUUCACCGAAAAUCAAGAGUAGCGAACGGGUGAGUAACGCGUGGGUAACCUACCUUUCAGCGGGGGAUAACUAUUGGAAACGAUAGCUAAUACCGCAUAACAAUGUUGGAUGCAUAUUCGACAUUUGAAAGUACCAAUUGGUACACUGAGAGAUGGACCCGCGUUGUAUUAG